UCAGGCACUGGGAACCAUUCCCACUGUCCCAUGUCCCAUGAUAUAUGAAUAAACUCUGUUAUAUAGAACGGCAGAUACACCUGAGACAAACCCUUAUUUUGGGAACGGAGCUCCCAGUGCCCCAUUCCCACUCUGGGGAAUCACAGCUCCUCUCCCUCUUCCUUCCCAGCUCUGGGAGGGACAUCUGCACCUGACAGCUGGGGAAUUUCAACCCAAUUAUCUCGGCAUGCACAAAGGGGCAGCUGUCAUUAAGGUAUUGAUUAAUUGUGUUUAAAGUAUUCCGAGUGACAUUGAAAACUUCAACAGCUUUGUCACCAGCACAAACCAAAAACAAACUCCAGCCCCUCCCAAAUCCCCCGUGCCUGUUCUCAGCGUGCUCUGCAGACUUCAGACUGAAAGAAUUGGAGGUUUGCCUUUUUUCUGGAAGUGUUGUUUUAGUGUUGGGUUGUAAUGCUGAAUUGGAGAUUGGGAUCAGAGCUCCAUGUUCUGAACCUCAGCCCCACUGAGGGGGCUCCUCCAUGUCAUUCCUGAGGCUCUGCCCUCCCUGUGGCACAGGGGACAGGGUGAAACUGCCCCAGCACAUCCAGUCCUUUGUUAAGGGGAGCACAAACACCCCCAGCCCCUCUCUGCAUCCCCAGGGACCCACCCAGGCAGAGCCCAGGACACAAACACACCUUUGGCUGCUUUUCCCAAACUUCCAGUCCCAUGCUGGAAUUGAAACCUGGAAUUUUAAAUUCCAGUCUCAUUAUUUCUGCUAUCAACCCUCUCAUUCCAAUGAGGAUUUCCCUCCCUGCCUGCUGAUACGUGCACUGCAGAGGGGAUUGGACAGACACCAGGCUGUCCCUGACUCCUCCUGCAGGUGAACAGGAGCUGAGGGAGAAGGGGAAGCUGCUCCUCACCCACCUGGGGCUGCAGCUCCUGAGCCCUGAACUCGGUGCCAGGAGAGAACUCCUGUUUUCCAGGGAGCAUCUUUUCCCAGGACUGCAGAAUCCCACAUGGUUUGGGUGGGAAGGGACCUUAAAGCCCAUCCAGGGACACCUUCCCCUGUCCCAGCCUGCUCCAGCCUGGCCUUGGGCACUGCCAGGGGUCCAGGGGCAGCCACCAACACCCCGAAAAAGUGCUGAUGUUUGGAUAAAAAAUGAACUUUUGGGAUAUGACACAGAGCUGUGCUUUGUAAAGUGUUGCUGUGGCUGCGCUGAGGAACAGUUCCGUGGAAAAAUCUGCAAUUCAGGAAAAAUCUGCCGCUCUUCCAGUGCAUUCUUCCAGGAAUUGCUUUAUUCCCGAGCUCCAAGCUCCUAGUUUGGAUAUGUCACUUAAGGCAGGAGAGUUUAAAGCUGCUGGCAGCAGUUUUGCUUAAUGGCCCAUUGGGCGAUGUCAGCUUAGCCCGUGCCAUUCAUUGUUAAUGAACUGUCAGCUCCAGCCACCUCUGCCUUAAACAUCCUCAGGGUGAGCUCGGGGAAAUCUUCCCCUAACAGCCAGGAUGAGAGAGUUCAUCUUCACAGAAACCUGGAAUGCUUUCAGUUGGAAAAGCCCUCCCAGACCAGGGAUCCAAGCGUUCCCCCUGCUCUGCCAAGGCAGUGGUUGUUACACCGGCAGGAUUAGCUCAUUCCAAAUGCAGGGCAUUCCUUGGGGAAUUCUACGCAUUUCUAACAUCCAAACCAAAGUGAACGAGUCCUUCAGAGCACAGCUUCCAAUCAGCACAAUGCCAUUCCUAAUUAAACUGAUCCGUGGCAAAUAAACCCCAGGAUCACAAUUCCUUUAAAUACCACUUGUCACACAUCAGGUUUCUCUGAUACUCGGUGGGGUUGGAGCACUCAGCCAGGCAGGAACAGCUCUUCAGGUGUCAUUAAAUCCAUCUGGACACCGCUCAACACAAAAUAUCCUUGAGCAACUCGUGCAGCCCCAUCACUCAGGCCACUGUGGUUCACACCUCAGGAGACAGCUGGAAAAAAAACCUUUUUUUUUGGCCAGGAGGCGAAAGCCAAACCUUUUCAAAGAAGCUGUUCUGUUUAUGAGGAGGUGGUGGGUCCGUGGUGUGUGUGGGAAUAUCUGUGAUCAGCAACCACAGCCAGGACUGCAGCCAAGGGGGUCUGUGCUGACCCGAGCUCGUCUGAGGCCACAGCAGGAAAAUCCCCACGGUGUCUGUUAUAAGUAUUGUUUUUGACAGUGUCGAUCCCACGCUGGAGUGUGGGACACAGCAGCAGCAGGAGGGAGCAGAGCCAGCCCCUCUCCGAGUGCCAUGGACACAGCCACGGGAAAGGCCGGGGCUGGGAAAGCACAGCCGGAGAGCUCGGCCCAGCAGCAGCAGCUCCAGACAGGCUGUUUGGGAUUCAGCCCCGAGUCCCAUUUCCCCACCCUGGGCACCGCCAGGACAGGGACAGGAAUCGGGCAGGUCCCUGAGCCCAGCGCCAGAGGCUCUUCCCGAGGCAAUUGGCCAUCAGGAUGGGGAGCAGGGAGCGGCAGAAACCGUGAGGCAGGCUCUGCAGAAACCGUGAGGCAGGCUCUGCAGAAACCGUGAGGCAGGCUCUGCUCCGGUGGGAUUUCCAGCUCAGGAGGAAUGUGACAGUCCCACCUCUGCUAGAAAGAAAUCCUGGGGGUCCUCAAGUCCACGGGCUGACUCACAUAAAAGGUGAGUCAUUUUCCCCUCAGGUAGGAGUUAUUUUUAGGAGAAUUACUCACUCAAAUUGUUGGUGGUUUGUAUGAAACAGGAAGACUUUUAAGUUCAGAACAAAAUAUUGUAGAAGCCUUGCACAAAUACUGUGUUUUCCUACUUUUAAGGCAAUUGUCUGAAAUUAAUUCACAUGUGCUCAAUAGCCGUAAGCAAAUCUUGACAGUUACAAGAAUUUAAAGCUAAAUUUAAAA